GAAUUAUAUAUAUAUACAGGAGUCCAGCUACUUUCCUUUCAGGAGGACUGAGAUCUUCGUCCUUCUAAGUCGCUUUAGAUGAUAGGGAUUCCGAAUCGAUGAUCGAAACCGUUAAAGUUGAUCUAGAGUAUUUAUAACGUCUAGAAACUAAAUUUUGUGAAUUUUAAAAUUCGUUAUCAAGUUCAUUGAAGAGUCGAAAAAUAAAUAGUAAAAAACGAAUAACUUUGUGAAAAUAAAUGUUAGACUUUUUCAAUCCAUGAUCGGAGUUAUCAAAUAUUAUCUAAAUAGUAUAAAAACUUUUCUAUCAAAAAUUUAAGCUAUUUGGAUUGUUCUAUACUGUUAAACAAGCAAACGGCUCAUAACGACAGUAAAAAAUUAUUGAUUUUGUGAUCCUUUGAUUACUACGUAAAUAAUAUUUAAAAUUCAUAAAAUUUAGUUUAUAAAUACUUUAAAUACUCUAGAUUAAUUUUAACGAUUCCGAACAUCGAUUUGAAAUCCCUGUUAUCUAAAAUGACUUAGAAGGGCGAAGACAUCGGUCUUCUUAAAA
rnacentral:lncRNA from 1 species